rnacentral:rRNA from 1 species
GAUGAACGCUGGCGGCGUGCCUAAUACAUGCAAGUCGAGCGAACAGACGAGGAGCUUGCUCCUCUGACGUUAGCGGCGGACGGGUGAGUAACACGUGGAUAACCUACCUAUAAGACUGGGAUAACUUCGGGAAACCGGAGCUUAUACCGGAUGAUAUAUUGAACCGCAUGGUUCAAUAGUGAAAGACGGUUUUGCUGUCACUUAUAGAUGGAUCCGCGCCGCAUUAGCUAGUUGGUAAGGUAACGGCUUACCAAGGCAACGAUGCGUAGCCGACCUGAGAGGGUGAUCGGCCACACUGGAACUGAGAGACGGUCCAGACUCCUACGGGAGGCAGCAGUAGGGAAUCUUCCGGAAUGGGCGAAUGCCUGACGGUGCAACGCCGCGUGAGUGAUGAAGGUCUUCGGAUCGUAAAACUCUGUUAUUAGGGAAGAACAAAUGUGUAAGUAACUAUGCACGUCUUGACGGUACCUAAUCAGAAAGCCACGGCUAACUACGUG